rnacentral:rRNA from 1 species
ACGAGUGGCGGACGGGUGAGUAAUGCUUGGGAACUUGCCUUUGCGAGGGGGAUAACAGUUGGAAACGACUGCUAAUACCGCAUAAUGUCUUCGGACCAAACGGGGCUUCGGCUCCGGCGCAAAGAGAGGCCCAAGUGAGAUUAGCUAGUUGGUAAGGUAACGGCUUACCAAGGCGACGAUCUCUAGCUGUUCUGAGAGGAAGAUCAGCCACACUGGGACUGAGACACGGCCCAGACUCCUACGGGAGGCAGCAGUGGGGAAUAUUGCACAAUGGGGGAAACCCUGAUGCAGCCAUGCCGCGUGUGUGAAGAAGGCCUUCGGGUUGUAAAGCACUUUCAGUUGUGAGGAAAAGUUAGUAGUUAAUACCUGCUAGCCGUGACGUUAACAACAGAAGAAGCACCGGCUAACUCCGUGCCAGCAGCCGCGGUAAUACGGAGGGUGCGAGCGUUAAUCGGAAUUACUGGGCGUAAAGCGCACGCAGGCGGUUUGUUAAGCUAGAUGUGAAAGCCCCGGGCUCAACCUGGGAUGGUCAUUUAGAACUGGCAGACUAGAGUCUUGGAGAGGGGAGUGGAAUUCCAGGUGUAGCGGUGAAAUGCGUAGAUAUCUGGAGGAACAUCAGUGGCGAAGGCGACUCCCUGGCCAAAGACUG